AUAAUAAUAAUAAUAAUAAUAAUAAGCCCCGCAGGGCAUCUGAGGCGGAUGACGGGGAGUAGCGACCCCGCGGGGCUAUAUAUCCGAGUGCUCCAGGGAGAGUAUACUGUCCCCCAUCUCCGGCUUGCCGUAGUGAAGCAUGACGGGGGAUAGGUCUCCCGCCUCUUGGCUUGCCUUCAUCGGCCGGUCAGAGUGGAGUCGCUAGAGCAAGGUUAGUCCUGCUCGGAGGGUAGGUGCCUCGUGGUAAGUGGCGAGUGGGCCGGUGAUGCUGGACCCACAGGGAGCGCGUGAUCUGCGUUUAAAGUCCGCCGAGGUAUCCUCACCCUUCUCAGCCGCUCACGUCCCUGUUGCCCUCUUGUUGCUUUUCAGUGACUGAUUCCCGGGGGCCCAGUAAGUGAGUUGGCGAGUCUCCACCUGCCAUUUUAACAUGUAUUUAAUACAUUGUCAUCGGCAGGUGCCAUAGUUCCCCUAGUUUCCCCAUUCCUAGUCCAUUAGCAUCCCAUCACAAUAGCCCAAGUAGUUUUCAUCCAUAGUUAGCAAUA
rnacentral:lncRNA from 1 species